rnacentral:antisense_RNA from 1 species
AAAGUAACAUUUUAAUGUGGAGCUUAGUAAUCGCCUAGAAUGAAUGGCGAUAUACAGUUUACUGCACCCUCCAAUGCGCAAAAGAGGCAGGAUGGCAAAAUUCAUGACUAUCUUAAGCAAGCCAGGAGACUGCUAAAAAGCUACCCCGGCUUUUCCUCCUGCACCAGCUGAGGCACCCGGUCUCCCGGUUUCCACACGAGUUCAGAGACACAAACUCACCCGCCGCUGAGGAAACGGUACUGCCUUCGCGGCCUUCUGGGAUCCAGGUUACGAGUGCGCUCCACUGGUUCGAGAUUUCUGCCCGCCGCUCGCCAGGGAGACUGAAUGCCCAAGCGCCUACUCGCACAGGCCGCAAAUACGGCCGCGCUGCGCGGGGAGCUGCUGGAGGUCUUCCUCUUGCCCGGCGUGCACUGCGGCCGGGGGCGGGGACGCGGAACCAUAGAGAAGAACGCAUAUAGAUCGUCUCCGCUGUUGGCUCUGACUCACCAAGCCGAGUCGAAUAACCAUAGAGAAGCAGCGUCUAGCUGCUACUAGAAAGGCCCGAACUGUAAAUUAUGACCCACCAUGUUUGAUUGGAGCGGACUGAAUCUUACGACUACGGGACGCCAUCUUGAGGUCAAGGUUCCGCCUGGGCACGGAGCGAGGAGUGUUAGUGGGUUUCUCACUUUUCGUAGUUUUUCGGGGCGUAGAACCUUGCUUUGUGAUUCCUUGAGGUUCGAGGAACUGAUAACUGGGCGCGAUCCGCAACCUUAGUGUUAAACCCCAAGUGCUGUUAUGACAACUACUCGAGAUCAAAUAAUUGGCAAAGGCUGUGGAGGUUUUUUGAAAAGCAAAAGCUUAUGCGUAGUUGCAGGGCCAAAGAGGUGGCUAGAAGAUGUUUGGAAAAACGUGAAAAAUCCUGUAAUACUAGUUAACACGGCUUUCGUUCUGUAAUCUAAAAGUGCUAAAAAAAAACUUAGCUUAAGUUAAUGGAAAUGAAUAAAAUUAAUCAUAAAUGA